rnacentral:rRNA from 1 species
CCUACGGGAGGCAGCAGUGGGGAAUCUUGCACAAUGGAGGAAACUCUGAUGCAGCGAUGCCGCGUGAGUGAAGAAGGCCCUUGGGUUGUAAAGCUCUUUCGUCGGGGAAGAAAAUGACUGUACCCGAAUAAGAAGGUCCGGCUAACUUCGUGCCAGCAGCCGCGGUAAUACGAAGGGACCUAGCGUAGUUCGGAAUUACUGGGCUUAAAGAGUUCGUAGGUGGUUAAAAAAGUUGGUGGUGAAAUCCCAGAGCUUAACUCUGGAACUGCCAUCAAAACUUUUUAGCUAGAGUAUGAUAGAGGAAAGCAGAAUUUCUAGUGUAGAGGUGAAAUUCGUAGAUAUUAGAAAGAAUACCAAUUGCGAAGGCAGCUUUCUGGAUCAUUACUGACACUGAGGAACGAAAGCAUGGGUAGCGAAGAGGAUUAGAUACCCUCGUAGUCCAUGCCGUAAACGAUGUGUGUUAGACGUUGGAAAUUUAUUUUCAGUGUCGCAGCGAAAGCGAUAAACACACCGCCUGGGGAGUACGACCGCAAGGUUAAAACUCAAAUGAAUUGACGG